AGUCACAGCCAUACCUGUGAUCCUCCUUGAAAUACCCUAGAUCUCAUGUACAGUCAUAUUUUAAUCAUCUCAACAAGCUUAUUCGUGUGUUCUUCAGUUCAGAAAAAUAGCAUCUUAUUGCUAAUACAAUACCAUGGAGGAAAUGUUAAUUUAUAUCCCACAUGUUACUUAAAAAUCACAAAUAAAUAUGAUUUAUAUAUUACAAGAGUUUCCUUACAGAGUGCUCAAAUUCAUGCAUGGAAAUAUAUAUAUAAUAUUAGGUAUAUGUAUAUGGCUUUUUUGAUUAAAAGGAAAAAUUCUAUCAAAAAACAAAAAGUUUCAGUCAGAAGCUUAUUUUUCUAGGAGUUCCAGGUACUAAAAGCUUUGGUCUCCUUAAUCAAGUAAGCUCCUUGUUCCUCCAAGUUUCAUUCUAUUUAAUAAGCAUUCCAACACAGAGAGUACAGCAAAUCAGGAAAUGUACUGCAGAAUAAAAACGUAUAAAUGAUAUACUGGCUUUUCGCAUGACUGAUCUUCAGAUGAAGAAAUUUUUGGAUUCAUAAUAAUCAACUCUGUUUCCAUUCAACUGUUUUCCAUGAGAAAUUCAAAUCAAAUUAUGCUAAACAGCAAUUAGUAAUAAACUCUUCAGAGGAAUUAUUUGGUUUUAUUUCCAGUAAAAGCCAAGUCUACAUAAAAGCCAUUAAUUAGUGUAUCUUUUGUCUCAGCAGGGAGACUAAGAAUUGAAGCCCUUGAACUUCAUUUAACCUUCAAAAGGGUCUCUGCAGGUCUGACUUGAAAUGCUCUGGAGGAGUGGGGGUGGGACACUGGAGAGAAAACAUUCAGGAAAACCAAGAUGAAAAUGGGUUUUAGUGCAGUUUUUUUGGAUACUAGUCAAAACAGCCUUGUUGAACUGUAAAAUUCCUCUUCUUUAUUACCCACUAAUGCAUGCAGCCGACAUUCCUGAACUUUACUUCAUCUGCAACUCCCACCCCCAUUAUAUCGAGUGUUAUUUCCUCCAUUUGUUUGAUUUUUCUCCAAGAAGUAUAAAAUUAACAUCCAAGGAAUCAUCAGUUUUCUAAUAGAAUGCAUCAUUAUAAAGCGCUUACAUAUGGACCCUCUGUAUUACUAGUUUCCUGUUGCUGUUGUUGCAAAUUCCUAUAAACUGAGUGGCUUAAAACAACAAAAACAACAUGGAUUUAUCUUUGAAUUCCAGAGGUCAGAAUACUGAAAUCAGUUUCACUGGGUUGAAGUUCAGCUAUCAGCAGGACUGCAUUUUUCUGGAGGCUCUGGGGGUAUUGGUUUCCUCGCCUUUUCCAGCUUCUUACUGUCACUUGUAUUCCUUGGUUUAUGGUCUCUUCCUCCAUCUUCAAAACAUAAUUCCAAUUUCUGCUAUGAUCAUCACAUCACUUUCUCUUCUAACUCUGACUCAUCCCAUUUCCCUUCUAUAAUGAACUCUGGUGAUUACUUCAGACCCAACCAGAUAAUCCAGAAAAUCUCAAAAUCUCAAAAUCUUUAAUUUGAUUAACUACAAAAACUCUUUUUGCCUUAUAAACCAGCCUCCCCAAGUUUCAGGGAUGAGGGCCUGGACAUAUCUGUCAAUAUUCAGCCUACUAUAGUCCACCUUCUGGCCCUCAGAGAGUCAUAUCCAUCCUACAAGAUACUUUCAUCCCAUCCCAGUAUCCUCCAGAGUUUCAACUACUAUAGCAUCAACUCAAAGUGAAAACUCAUCUAAAAGUCAUCAGCUCAAAAGUCCCAAAUGUCAUCACCUAAAACAGGUGUAGAUGAGACUCUGGGUAUGAGUCAUUCUAGGGCAAAAUUCUGCUCUCUCUGUGGACUUGUGAAAUUAGAGAAUAAGAGAUCUGCUUCCAAAAUACCAUAGUGAUACAGGAUAGGAUCAUAGUUAAAAGACAUCACCAUUCCAAAGGGAAGAAAACAGAGGAAGACAGGAAUCACUGGUCAGAAGCAAUGUCACAUUCAACUAGGUGAACACCAUCAGGUUUCAAAUGCCUGGGAAUUACCCUCUAUGGUUUACAGCUCUCCUCUCUAGGACCUUAUUCCAGCCCUAAACUGCCUCAUUCUCCAUUUCCAUAGCUGAGGAGUAGUAUUUGGUGAAGUGUGUCUCAGAAUAGGAGAGAAAAUGUCUAUUUUGCUUAGUACUUUGUAAUGAAAUGCAGAAAAUUGUUAUUUUUUUUUUUUUAAAUGGAUGACUUAUUAAAAAGGUCCUCAUAUCAAAUUGCUUCUAGCAAGAAGGCAACUUCAAAUUCUCCUCAAAAUUAAAAAAAAAAGGUUUUUGCUCAAUAGAGCUGCAUCAAAGCUGCAGUAUCAAAAUAUCAUGUACACAUCUAGAGUAACAUAGAAAAAAUUACAUCGCCACAAUUAUCUAUAUUGUUUCAGAAAAAUAGCAGAGUAAUCUUAUGUAAUGAAAAAUUUGGUUAUGGCACUUUUGUUUCGGAACCAAGUACAAUGAUUACUUUGGGAUAAUCUGGCUUUUGCAAUGACAGAUGAAAUUCAGAAGCACUGCCAAAUCUCUUCUGCCUAGAUAGUGAAAACAAAGUAGGUUUGACCUAGAAUUGUGAGUGUUUAAAUCAGAAGAAGAAAUAAUAGUUUUAAACUUUUUCCUGAUCCCCAGUUUUUGCUGGAUAUAACCUCCUUGGAAAUAUUUAUAAUUUGGAAGUAGAUGGAGUAAACCCAUUAUUAAAAGGUACACACUAAGGCAGCAAUUUAUUUUGAUGUUUACUUUGGAUUAAUUUCACAGCUAAAUUGAAUAUGAAGAAUGGCUUGUUUAUUUUAGAUAAGAACUCUAACUAGAACAAAAUUGUGAUGUCUCUGGAAUGUGAGCCAUUUCUGCCUCUACUUUAAACAAACCAGCUCCAAUCAAGUUGGGGGGGGGGUUGGCUAUAUAAUACAUGCAGAAAAAUAAGUUGGAAAAAGUAAAUUAUCAUAUUUAAAUAUAACAAUAAAGGACAAUAUCAUUCAUUCCAUUUUCAAUUUUAGAAUAAAUUAGAACAAAGACAAGUAGAUAAAAGGACCUAAAACAUGAGGCAUGUCUGGUCCAUUUAUGGCCUUAAAUUUCUCCCCUGUGUUAUGAAUAUUAAGGGUGACAUAUGGAGGCCUGUAGUUGAGAAAAUACAACAUUAUGUUGAAACAUUUUUUUGAGAUGACCUCCAAAAUAUCACACAGUAGAUUUGUGUCUCAUUGAAAGCAGGGCAUCUUUACUCAGAGAGAGAGAAUAAUUAUUAAUUUCAAAAAGAGGAAUGUAGAAAGUUAAAUCAUUUUCAAAACCAUUUACUUUUUUAAAAAGACUUGUGCAAUUGCAUUUAUUUUUAAGAAAAGAAGUUAAGGGCUACGUAGAUUGACUUUUGGUUGUUUUGUUUGCUACCACGUCUUUGUUUCACGUUGGGUUUCUGCUUGGAGCGGAACACAAUGUGAAACAGAUCCAUGCUGCCUGCAACCCCAGAAUUCUCACUCUUAGCAUAAAACUCUCCUUGCCCUUGAACAUCUUCGUCUUGUCCAAAUCUGACUUAAUGAAUCUUGGUGCUUUCACCAGAUCACAGAUAUGAUUCUAAAACAAAUGAAACAUUUUUUAAAAGCCCACUGACAAUAGAAAUAUUUAUCAAUGGUUUAUUUUCAGCCCAGAAAUGAAUGGAGUUUUCAGAAGUGUUCGUUCUAAAGGAGAGAGUGUUAUGAUCUAUCCAUUGAUAUCGUAUGGAUUAUAAAUUGGUUUUGGCAAGACUGAUUAUUGUUGCAUUCAAAUAAAAGAUAAUAUAUUGAGUCAAUAAAUGUAUUAAAAUACUAUCUCUGGAGUUCCCGUCGUGGCUCAGUGGUUAAGGAAUCCAACUGGGAACCAUGAGGUUGCGGGUUCAAUCCCUGGCCUUGCUAAGUGGGUUAAGGAUGCGGCAUUGCCGGGAGCCGUGGUGUAGGUUGCAGCGGCUCGUAUCCCAUGUUGCUGUGGCUCUGACAUAGGCCGGCGGCUAUGGCUCUGAUUCGAUCCCUAGCCUGGGAACCUCCAUAUGCC
rnacentral:lncRNA from 1 species